ACGUUUAUUCAUAAAUCUGGUCCUUCACCGUCACGUGUGUGUUGUAUUUUUGCCAAAUCCACCAACAGCAAUUUCCAAUUUCCCUAUUUUCGAGUCACGGAUAGGUAACUUUCCUAAAACAUUACUAUUGGUUAUAUAGUUGGGCAAACAUACAAUACACACGUGACGGUGAAGAACCAGAUUUAUAAAUAAACGU